rnacentral:misc_RNA from 1 species
UUUCCGUAGGUGAACCUGCGGAAGGAUCAUUAUCAAAACAGCGGACUUCGGUCCUUGCUGCACCCUUGUUUUUGCGUACCUAUUGUUUCCUCGGCGGGCUUGCUCGCCGGUUGGACAAAACUAUAACCUUUUUUAAAUCUUCAAUCAGCGUCAGAAACAAAACAAUAAUUACAACUUUCAACAACGGAUCUCUUGGUUCUGGCAUCGAUGAAGAACGCAGC